UACGUAGGGGGCUAGCGUUGUCCGGACUCAUUGGGCGUAAAGCGCGCGUAGGCGGUCAGGUAAGUCCGGUGUGAAAGUCAAAGGCUCAACCUUUGAAUGCCGCUGGAUACUGCUUGACUUGAGUCCGGAAGGGGCGAGUGGAAUUCCUGGUGUAGCGGUGAAAUGCGCAGAUAUCAGGAGGAACACCUAUUGCGAAGGCAGCUCGCUGGGACGUUACUGACGCUGAGACGCGAAAGCGUGGGGAGCGAACAGG
rnacentral:rRNA from 1 species